UGACCUCCUCUAGCUUCCUUCUCAGAGGCCCUGCGUGUGAUGUACUCACCAGUCUGUCUUUAUCGUGCAGAUAAAGAACUGAGAGCCAUUGGUGUUGGGGCCUGCGUUCGCCAUGGACAGGACACCUGUAAGACAAGCACGGAGUAAUGAAUGAGAAAGUUCUAGAGAAACCCAGUAAGAGAUGCUGAGCUGCCUGGAUGCUAACAGAAGGAGCAUGACAAGGAUGCCGGGCAAGUGUGGACCAUAGCGACGGGAUGAACAGCAAGAGCGCUGGACAGGGCUCCGCCCCACAGACCUGGCCCCACAUGCUUCAGUGUGAAGUUCUCGUCGGGAAAGCGGCUUCCGUAGAUGGACCUCCCUCCUGUGCCAUUGUGGUUGGUGAAGUCGCCAGCCUGUACACAGAGGACCUUGUCACUAAUUACCACAGCUGGCAGAGGGACAAGGGUCCCCUAGGAAGACAGCCCUCAACGCUCUCAAGGCUCGCCCUCAGGCAAAAGGGCCAACAAAACUAAAACCAAGCUUCUGCAUUUGUAACCAUGCCGUAACAAGUCUGGUUUCUGAACAAAAAGUAUCCUGUCUGAGCUAGUUUUUUUCUGUAAACCUCAAGAAACGUGCCUGAGCUAUUCAGAUUCUCAACCCACAAUUCCUAAGAGGACCACAAGCAGGUGACCAGGGGUCCUGUUCUCAGAGCCAGGCAGUAGGAGACAACCAGUUCCCCGCCCGAAUCCUCUUCUAUGCUCCAGCAUCACCCUCCCAAAGCCCAACAGCUUUGUAGACACAUGCU
rnacentral:lncRNA from 1 species